ensembl:snoRNA small nucleolar RNA Z17
GGUGCAGAGGAUGAUGAUUUAGCGACCAAAGCCUGAUUGGUUGUGAUUACAGCUUAAUAGUGACUGAUGCACC